rnacentral:lncRNA from 1 species
CCAGCAGAAAGAGAAGCUCCUUGUUGUGAAAUUGCACCGCCAGCAGCUGCUAAAGCUGAUGCAGGUAUAGUACCAGUCCCAGUUGCUGCAAUUAUAGAUGGUUCAGCUUGUUGUAGAAGCCACUGUAUUGUCUCUCCAUCAGAUUUGUGACCCAAUUCUCUUGUCAAUUGAAAGAUUCUCGCUGCACAAAGAGCUGGCAUCCUUAUCCUUCUACCUCUACCUUCAACUUUUGUGUGUCUGUCUUUGUUUGAGCUUCUCUUUGGUGCUAACUGUUUCUUUUGCUCUUCUUUGUCAGCUACUACAAUCUGAAAGUCUUUGAUUUCUGCUGGUUUGUUGUCUCCCAUGUUGGGUUGUUGUUGGUUUUGGCUAUGGAGUUGUUGUGGUUGUUGAAGAUGGGGUUGUGGAGGAGGAGGAGGAUGAGGAGGAGAAGGGUGGGUGUGGGU